rnacentral:sRNA from 23 species
AUUAACAUCUAUUAACAGUAGUUAACAUGAAUACCUAUGAACUUAGUCAGGUUUUUUUAUAAUAUAGCGAUGUAGGUUAGGUAACACUAAUCUCAUGACAUUUCUCCUUUCAACCGAAACUGUUUUAAACAGAUUCGUUGUUCAACGCAAUGACAACCCCAAUCAUUGCGUUUUUUUUCGCCUAAAGAAUA